AACGCAAAUUGCACUCUCCGGUUUUCCGGGAGAGUAUGCCUGUUUGAGGGUCUGUUUAAAAAACAAUCGAGGCUGCUGCUGUGUGGUGGCGCCUCGGAAUUGGGUCACCUUCCACCUCUCGGGGUUGUAAGCGACUUAAAAUUUUUUUUACGAUUUCGAUGAGCGUGUUUAAGGAUACUCCUAUACGUUCAUGAUAUCGAAAUUCCCUAUUAGGGGUGACCGCCGCGUCGGUUUCGCUCCUAUAAUCAUCAUCAAAGGACCUCAGACAGGUAAGAUUACCCGCUGAACUUAA
rnacentral:misc_RNA from 1 species